AACGAACGCUGGCGGCAGGCUUAACACAUGCAAGUCGAACGCACCUUUCGGGGUGAGUGGCAGACGGGUGAGUAACGCGUGGGAAUCUACCCUUCUCUACGGGAUAGCUCCGGGAAACUGGAAUUAAUACCGUAUACGUCCUGAGGGAGAAAGAUUUAUCGGGGAAGGAUGAGCCCGCGUUGGAUUAGCUAGUUGGUGGGGUAAAGGCCUACCAAGGCGACGAUCCAUAGCUGGUCGAAGAGGAUGAUCAGCCACAUUGGGACAGAGACACGGCCCAAACUCGUACGGGAGGAGGCAGUGAGGAUUAUUAGACAAUGGGCGCAAGCCUGAUCCAGCCAUGCCGCGUGAGUGAUGAAGGCCCUAUGGUUGUAAAGCUCUUUCAGUGCGGACGAUAAUGACGGUACCCACAGAAGAAGCCCCGGCUAACUUCGUG
rnacentral:rRNA from 1 species